rnacentral:snoRNA from 1 species
AAGCAACACUCUGUGGCAGAUAUCCAAUUACCUGUCUCAAUUUAAGCUUGCUAUAAUAAAAAAAAAAAAGUCUAACCUAUUCCAGUGGUCUCUGUUAGGUGAGGUCAUGUGUUAUAUAGACUCUAACAAC